GAGGCCAUAGCUCAGUUGGUAGAGCACCGGAUUGUGGUUUCGGCUGUCGCGGGUUCGAUCCCCGUUGGUCUCC
rnacentral:tRNA from 1 species